rnacentral:rRNA from 1 species
GUGGGGAAUCUUAGACAAUGGGGGCAACCCUGAUCUAGCCAUGCCGCGUGAGUGAUGAAGGCCUUAGGGUUGUAAAGCUCUUUCAGUGGGGAAGAUAAUGACGGUACCCACAGAAGAAGCCCCGGCUAACUCCGUGCCAGCAGCCGCGGUAAUACGGAGGGGGCUAGCGUUGUUCGGAAUUACUGGGCGUAAAGCGCACGUAGGCGGAUCGGAAAGUCAGGGGUGAAAUCCCGGGGCUCAACCCCGGAACUGCCUUUGAAACGCCUGGUCUUGAGGUCGAGAGAGGUGAGUGGAAUUCCGAGUGUAGAGGUGAAAUUCGUAGAUAUUCGGAGGAACACCAGUGGCGAAGGCGGCUCACUGGCUCGAUACUGACGCUGAGGUGCGAAAGCGUGGGGAGCAAACAGGAUUAGAAACCCGGGUAGUCC